UUACAUUCUUUCUCUCAUCCUUGGUAGCAGUUAUUUGUUUGCAAAUAAUCUAUAGGGCCAGCGGACCGGGGGAUUUUUCCUUGAAUUAGCCGAAGUGUAAUUGCGGGAAACUUCUUGCCGAGGGCUGUGCACUUCCGGAUGAUUAGUCGGAACGUUGUUUCGACACCCAGUGCCAAAAAAAAAAAAAACAGUUAUUUUGAUUCUUCGUUGCCCCAACGUCACACGCUCAAACACUGAAUCUGAGCUACCCCUUACAGGGGCCUGCGUAAGUGGGACCGAUACUGAGUAAUUACCCUCUUGUUCACGGUACAAAAAGGUUUAUAAGAGGACAUGAAAAGAAUGUAAUGAACAAUCUAGACUAUCUGGGUAUUUAUUUAACAUUUGUUCGAUGCAGUGGUGCGUGAAAACGCUCGCCAAUAAACAUUUUUUAUGAAUAAAAUUAGGAAAUAAAUAUAGAAAGUUUUUUUUUUUCUUUUUUGAGAUGUAAUUUUAUAAAAAGUGAAGAGGGACAAAACCCAAGUACAAAGACAUACAAAAGAAGCACGACAUAGAGAACUUGAAUGUUCCAAUCAUACAUAGAUGCUACUCAAUGGGUCAAAUGCAACAGUACUAAUGUUCUCAUGAGAGAAGUCUAUUGAACUACUUGUGUUAUCAUUUGAAUUGCAUUAUAAACUAGAAUCAGGUAAUAUCCAAGAUUAGUCGGG